rnacentral:ncRNA from 1 species
AGAUUAUGGAUCGUGCUGCCAAGCGGUUUGAUAAACAGCGUAUUGUCAUUCAGCACCACAUCGCCUGUGGCCUUAACCAGUUCGCCUGUAAACGGAAUAUCAAGAUGUAAGCGAGCAUUCACAUCGCCAUCAAGCUGGAGUUCAUCCAGCGCAGCGGCGAGAGAGUCAUCUAAGGGUGUCUCUUUAAAAUAGGGACCGACCGCUUUACCUGGCCCGGAAAUAUCGGCAUCGAUAAUCAGUUUUUCUUUUUCAUAGUCAGGAAUGUUGGCGCUGAUAUUGCGCCCUUUUACGCCGCCCAGCAUGGCUUCCGGGGACUUCAUCCAUAACCCGUCAUUGAUAAAGUCGAGUUCAAUCUCAAUGCCUUUUAACGCAGGCCAGUCAGGCUGAAAGGCAUAGGUGGCGUUAUGUACCGGCACC